CAAGAAGCAUCUUGAGAAAUCCGAUUCGAAAUCCGAGAAGGAAAUGGUUAAAUCAAAAAGUGAGAUUGAGAAUGGUGGUAAACCUGGAGAAGAGAUGAAGAUUGGUACUGUUGUUGGUGUUUCUACUUUAGGGAUUGAUUAUGAUAUGGAGGAAGGAGAAAUCAUUGAGGAUGAUGUUGUGGAUACUGCUGCUGUUGGUGAUGCUGAUGAGACUACCGUGACAGAAAAAUUGGGGAAUGAAGAUGAUUUGAACAUGACAUGAGAAUUAUGUAUUCCAUACAGAGCUUUGAAGUCCUGAUGAUUGAGGGCUUUCUUUUUAUUAGAAUUGCAUGAAGCUCAAGAACAAGGGCCUGCAGACAAUGUGGAAAAAGUUGACAGAGAUUACACUGUUUCUGGACGGCAUGAUGAGCAAAGCAAAAGUAGAAAGGCUGAUAGGUCUAGAGAAAGGAAGUCUAGUGACAAGCAUUGUGCCAAUGGUAGUUACAUAGAUAAGUUUCAUAAAUUGGACUCUGAACCACAGAAAGAAGAUAGUAUCACUGGUGAAGAAAUUACAAAACAAA
rnacentral:misc_RNA from 1 species